rnacentral:rRNA from 1 species
GACGAACGCUGGCGGCGUGCUUAACACAUGCAAGUCGAACGAUGAAGCUAGAGCUUGCUCUGGUGAAUUAGUGGCGAACGGGUGAGUAACACGUGAGUAACCUGCCCCGAACUCUGGGAUAACUGCUGGAAACGGUAGCUAAUACUGGAUACGACCUACGAAGGCAUCUUCUGUAGGUGGAAAGAAUUUCGGUUCGGGAUGGACUCGCGGCCUAUCAGCUUGUUGGUGAGGUAAUGGCUCACCAAGGCGACGACGGGUAGCCGGCCUGCGAGGGUGACCGGCCCAACUGGGACUGAGACACGGCCCAGACUCCUACGGGAGGCAGCAGUGGGGAAUAUUGCACAAGGGGCGAAAGCCUGAUGCAGCAACGCCGCGUGAGGGAUGAAGGCCUUCGGGUUGUAAACCUCUUUUAGCAGGGAAGAAGCGAAAGUGACGGUACCUGCAGAAAAAGCACCGGCUAACUACGUGCCAGCAGCCGCCGUAA